CCGCGCAAUUUACUUGGACCCGGCGAGGAGAGCGUUCCGCACCAGAAAAUCUGGGUGCUGGCCCCGCAAGACGGGACCCAAAGGACUGCUGAGCUGUCAGUGCUGCUGGGGGAGCCCCACUCUCUGCAAGACGAGCAGAGGGGGAGCCCAAGGCCCACGGGCAUGCGUGGCACAGAGUCAGGGCUCAGAUGGGGCAAGGACCUGAGACAUCCCGGUACAUUCCAGAACUUUCCAGAGCGUCCUCCAUCUCCCAGAUGCUGCCGUGGGCAUUUCGGGGGCUUUUGUGAACCCCUGAGAUCCAUCCAUUCCUCUCCUCCUUCCCACCUCCAGCCCAGCUCCUUCAGUCUCCUGCCUCUCCAGUAAAGCCCCCUUUGCUGAAGCUGAUUGCCAGAAGCUCUGCUGAGGCCCUGAUGGGUUGGGAUGGAUUCUCGGGGCCCCUGGACAGAUGGCCUCGCCCCUCGAAGGGAGAGUCACCGUCUCUGACUUGAGCACCAGCAUCCAGAGCCCGGGGAAGAAAUCACGUAUCAAAUGUGGUGUAUGUGAUGACACGGUCUCCAGGAAGCAGAGAGGGAACAGCUAAGAAGACAAGCAGGAAAUAACACGACCCGAGAAGAGCCAGGACUUCCCUGCUUUCUUUUCAACGUGCGGAGCGUUGAUUAUUGAUGGAGCUUGAAGGGGUCUGGUGGAAAGGAGACACAAGUGUUUGGGGCUUCUGGGAGGUGGAUCUCAACAGGUGCAAGACCUGCCCUGGGUCGGAACCUUCAGGACCUGCAUUGGACAGAAUGGAGCAAAGCCCCCCCAUCCAGCUUGCUCUGUCCCCUGUCAUGAGACCCCCUCCACCCCAGGAACCCUGUGUCACGUGGCUCCCCAUCAGCGCCUUCUUUCCCUUGGAAAGUGGAUGAGGUCAGAGCGUCAGCUUCGCCAGCAAGGCCUGAAGAAAGAAGGCGGACAGGCCUCACCCCCUCUGCGCCACCCCCUCCCCACCCCGUACCCCGCUGCUGACGCCUCGGAGAGGAAACGCUCGCCUUUGCCCUGCGUGGCACCCGCUCCCCUGCAGGUUCAUAAGUGGGUGAGUGCCUCCAAGAUGAAAAGUAGAACUGCCACAGGAUGCAGUAAUUCCACAGCUGGAUAUGUGCCCAAAUAACUGCAAGCAGAGGCUUGCACGGUUACUUGCACACCCACACGCGUGGCAGCUUUGUUCACCGUCACCAAGAGGGGAGCGACCCACGCGUCGUCAUGGACAGACGCGUAAAGAGGGCUCUCCCCCCGGCGAUGAAGAGGAAGGAAACCCUGUCGCAGGCCACAAAGUACGGGGACCCUGAGGACGUUAUGCCCCGUGAACUAAGCCAGUCUGUAGGGCUCCGCUCACCGGACGUCCUGGAGCAGCCAGAUUUGGGGACAGAGACGAGGAGGCGGGGCCGGGGGAGGAGCAGGUGGGAGCUGGUGUUUCCCGGGGACAGAGUUUGCGCUCACAAGAUGCAGGAGUUGAGCUCUCUUACCCGCAGUGUGAGUGUGGUUCCUCUCCUGAAUUGUGUACUUACACGUGGUUGGGAGGCAGGCUUUAUGUGCGUUUUACCACAAUGUUAAAAAUAGGCAGUGCGGGCGCUCUGGAGUGACUCUGCAACACCUGAAUUCAGAAACAUCGUAUUGCUGUACUUUUCCAAGGCAAACUAAAUCUCCGGGCGCCUUGCUUCAUUCCCAGCACCCCAUUUUACAGAGGGAGCGGCCCCGUCAGAGCCCGAGUUCUUCCUGCCGAGCGACUGUCCACAGACCAGGGCUCUCCCAGACUUUAUCUCGCUUCCGUACCGUAGCCACUGAAACACCCCGGUCAUGCUGCCAGCCCACCGCCCAGCGCAGCCAGCGUCACCUCCCUCUUGCUGUGGAUCGGCCGGUUGACCAGGCUGCCCUUCGUGGACGGCCUGGUCAUUCUGCCAUGGAAAAGAACCCUGCAAAGUCUGUGCGCUUCGUCCAUCUGUGCAGAGCUUGGCUCCGGGCUACGCCUGCAUCCAUUCGCACGUAUCAGUGACCACCAACAAACAGAGCUUGCAGCUCUCGCAGAGGGAGCUCUUUGCAUCAUGGAGCAAGAGGUCAGUGAGGAUGAGCUAGAGCAAAGAGCAUGAUUAGGUAGGUGCUGGUGAGCAGGUGAGCAACCCAGGGCCGGUUUGUCCGCCGCAUCCCAGGAAAGGCUUCCUUCAGCUUCAGCUGGAAUGCUGGGCUCCCUCUGAGCCUGCGAUGCCCCUGCCAAGGUCCCUCUUCUCCCUGCCUGGCACUGAGCAGCAACCCUGAGCCAGCUCUUCCCUCUGUCACCGUCUGUGCUUUGCAGGCUC